AAGUCGUAACAAGGUUUCCGUAGGUGAACCUGCGGAAGGAUCAUUAACAACAUAUCCUAACUUAAAAACCCUGUGAACUUUCAACCCCAAAUCGCUUGAUCCCAGUACCUCAGCAAUCUCUGGUAAAUCAUAGUGAACAGCUUUGAUUCAGAGACGUUCUGUCAGUGUGCGUUUGAUUUGCAAGGGUGGCGCAGUAAACGAUCGCUGGAGGCCGACACGGCCGGCGACUGGGUCAGCGAGCUUUGCUCCCACUGUUACUACUUACAAGAUUUCCCAAUUAGUGAAAGCUAUUGGGCUAUAACUAAACGACUGUUAACAAUGGAUAUCUCGAUUCUC
rnacentral:misc_RNA from 1 species